CUACGGGACGCAGCAGUGGGGAAUUUUUCGCAAUGGGGGAAACCCUGACGAAGCAACGCCGCGUGGAGGAUGAAGGCCUUCGGGUCGUAAACUCCUGUCGACCGGGACGAAAGCACCCCGACCUAAUACGUCGGAGUGUUGACUGUACCGGUGGAGGAAGCUCCGGCUAACUCUGUGCCAGCAGCCGCGGUAAUACAGAGGGAGCAAGCGUUGUUCGGAAUUACUGGGCGUAAAGGGCGCGUAGGCGGUCUUGUAAGUCCCGUGUGAAAUCCCUCGGCUCAACUGGGGAACUGCACGGGAAACUGCUUGGCUUGAGUUCGGGAGAGGGAAGCGGAAUUCCGGGUGUAGCGGUGAAAUGCGCAGAUAUCCGGAGGAACACCGGUGGCGAAGGCGGCUUCCUGGACCGAAACUGACGCUGAGGCGCGAAAGCUAGGGGAGCAAACGGGAUUAGAUACCCGGGUAGUC
rnacentral:rRNA from 1 species